AUUGAACGCUGGCUGCAUGCUUUACACAUGCAAGUCGAACGGCAGCGCGGGGGCAACCCUGGCGGCGAGUGGCGAACGGGUGAGUAAUGCAUCGGAACGUAUCCUGUAAUGGGGGAUAACUAAUCGAAAGAUUAGCUAAUACCGCAUACGCUCGGGAGAGGAAAGUGGGGGAUCGCAAGACCUCACGUUAUAGGAGCGGCCGAUGUCUGAUUAGCUAGUUGGUGAGGUAAAGGCUCACCAAGGCGACGAUCAGUAGCUGGUCUUAGAGGAUGAUCAGCCACACUGGGACUGGAAAACGGCCCAGACUCCUACGGGAGGCAGCAGUGGGGAAUUUUGGACAAUGGGUGCAACCCUGAUCCAGCCAUGCCGCGUGCGGGAAGAAGGCCUUCGGGUUGUAAACCGCUUUAGUCUAGGAAAAAGGAAUGCAGGAUUAAUACCCUUGUGUUUUGAUGGUACUGGAAGAAUAAGCACCGGCUAACUACGUGCCAGCCGCCGCAGUAA
rnacentral:rRNA from 1 species